rnacentral:lncRNA from 1 species
UUCAUCUCCAAAUGUACACAGAACCGAAAUCUUCAUCUCCAAAAGUACACAUUUCUAACCCAUGAAAAAAAAUCAUCUCAUCGACACUAAAAAUCUGCAAACCCUAGAAGAUUGAGAUGAGAUCGGAGGCCGGUGGUGGGGAAGAGAGGUGACGCCGGCAGCAGUGAGGAAGGGAGGCGGCACCGGUCGCAAUGGUGAAGGUUAGCG